CCUACGGGAUGCACCAGUGGGGAAUAUUGGACAAUGGGGGAAACCCUGAUCCAGCGACGCCGCGUGGGUGAAGAAGGCCUGCGGGUUGUAAGCCCUUUCAGUGGGGAAGAAAAGCCUCGAGCUAAUACCUCGGGGUCUUGACGUAACCCAUAGAAGAAGCACCGGCUAACUCUGUGCCAGCAGCCGCGGUAAUACAGAGGGUGCGAGCGUUAAUCGGAAUUACUGGGCGUAAAGCGCGCGUAGGCGGCUUUGCAAGUCGGGUGUGAAAUCCCCAGGCUUAACCUGGGAACUGCAUUCGAGACUGCAUUGCUAGAGUAUGGGAGAGGGAAGUGGAAUUUCAGGUGUAGCGGUGAAAUGCGUAGAUAUCUGAAGGAACAUCAGUGGCGAAAGCGACUUCCUGGACCAAUACUGACGCUCAUGUGCGAACGCGUGGGGAGCAAACAGGAUUAGAUACCCCUGUAGUC
rnacentral:rRNA from 1 species